rnacentral:rRNA from 1 species
ACCAGGAACCGUACCCCAAACCGACACAGGUGGUCGGGUAGAGAAUACCAAGGCGCUUGAGAGAACUCGGGUGAAGGAACUAGGCAAAAUGGCACCGUAACUUCGGGAGAAGGUGCGCCGGCUAGGGUGAAGGAUUUACUCCGUAAGCUCUGGCUGGUCGAAGAUACCAGGCCGCUGCGACUGUUUAUUAAAAACACAGCACUCUGCAAACACGAAAGUGGACGUAUAGGGUGUGACGCCUGCCCGGUGCCGGAAGGUUAAUUGAUGGGGUUAGCGCAAGCGAAGCUCUUGAUCGAAGCCCCGGUAAACGGCGGCCGUAACUAUAACGGUCCUAAGGUAGCGAAAUUCCUUGUCGGGUAAGUUCCGACCUGCACGAAUGGCGUAACGAUGGCGGCGCUGUCUCCACCCGAGACUCAGUGAAAUUGAAAUCGCUGUGAAGAUGCAGUGUAUCCGCGGCUAGACGGAAAGACCCCGUGAACCUUUACUGUAGCUUUGCACUGGACUUUGAGCCUGCUUGUGUAGGAUAGGUGGGAGGCUUUGAAGCGUGGACGCCAGUUCGCGUGGAGCCAUCCUUGAAAUACCACCCUGGCAUGCUUGAGGUUCUAACUCUGGUCCGUGAUCCGGAUCGAGGACAGUGUAUGGUGGGCAGUUUGACUGGGGCGGUCUCCUCCUAAAGAGUAACGGAGGAGUACGAAGGUGCGCUCAGACCGGUCGGAAAUCGGUCGCAGAGUAUAAAGGCAAAAGCGCGCUUGACUGCGAGACAGACACGUCGAGCAGGUACGAAAGUAGGUCUUAGUGAUCCGGUGGUUCUGUAUGGAAGGGCCAUCGCUCAACGGAUAAAAGGUACUCCGGGGAUAACAGGCUGAUACCGCCCAAGAGUUCAUAUCGACGGCGGUGUUUGGCACCUCGAUGUCGGCUCAUCACAUCCUGGGGCUGAAGCCGGUCCCAAGGGUAUGGCUGUUCGCCAUUUAAAGUGGUACGCGAGCUGGGUUUAGAACGUCGUGAGACAGUUCGGUCCCUAUCUGCCGUGGACGUUUGAGAUUUGAGAGGGGCUGCUCCUAGUACGAGAGGACCGGAGUGGACGAACCUCUGGUGUUCCGGUUGUCACGCCAGUGGCAUUGCCGGGUAGCUAUGUUCGGAAAAGAUAACCGCUGAAAGCAUCUAAGCGGGAAACUUGCCUCAAGAUGAGAUCUCACUGGGAACUUGAUUCCCCUGAAGGGCCGUCGAAGACUACGACGUUGAUAGGCUGGGUGUGUAAGCGUUGUGAGGCGUUGAGCUAACCAGUACUAAUUGCCCGUGAGGCUUGACC